UACGAAGGGGGCGAGCGUUAUUCGGAAUCACUGGGCGUAAAGCGUGCGUAGGCUGUUUGGCAAGUUGGAAGUGAAAGCCCAGGGCUCAACCCUGGAAUUGCUUUCAAAACUGCCAGACUCGAGUCCGGGAGAGGAUAGCGGAAUUUCCAGUGUAGUAGUGAAAUACGUAGAUAUUGGAAGGAACACCAGUGGCGCAAGCGGCUAUCUGGACCGGUACUGACGCUGAGGCACGAAAGCGUGGGGAUCAAACAGG
rnacentral:rRNA from 1 species